UCUCUCUCUCUCUCUCUCUCUCUCUAAGAUCCUUCGCCGUUCGUCGUCCAUUUCCAAAAAGGGAGGGUACUGCGUGGAUCAGAAGAGAAAACUCUACACUUUUACUGAAUCGGAUUGUCGUUUCGGAGAGUUUCGGGUUUUCCCAAGAAUCGAGAGGCUGGUGAUACACCGAGCCGCAUCAGUAAAUAAAGAGAGGUAAACUGAGUGGAAAGACGCCGGUUUGAACCCGCUGGGAUUAUUUCUAUACUAUUGAUAUAGGGUUGAAAAAUACUUUCUUUGCAGAGUUGAAAUAAACUACUGUUAUAUGAUACGGCGCAAUAUCAUAGCUAGAUGUACACGUGCAACCACACGUAUUAAAUGAUGUGGUACCAAGAUGAUCGGCUAGCAGGGUGAAACCAUUGGCUGAUAUUAGGCCAAUGGAGGCAAUCAGAUCGUAUGUAGGUACUCGGCAGUGUCUGCACGAACAGGGCAUUGGACAAGUAUCAGUGCACAACCCAAGCCACGGGGUAAAACUGGUUAUAGGGAUAUUUUACUAUUGGUCAUCUGAUAAAUCAUUAAAUGGUCAAAAGACAGAUGUGGAAAUUUUGUAAUAUGAAUAAUGAUAUACCUUAUACAUUACUGUAUUAAAAAUAUUUGAUUUAUAUUCCAGAUGUUGAAUGAAAAUAUGCAUGUAUGCAGUCA